UUGAUAAAGGCAAAUCCAUCGAAAGAUGGCGACGCAAAGCUACAGGGGCUACAGCGGUUCAUCCGCAAUGCCAGCCAGUUACCGA
rnacentral:ncRNA from 1 species